rnacentral:tRNA from 1 species
GGGGUUGUAACUCAGUAGUAGAGCACAUGCUUAGCAUCCAUGAGAUCCUGGGUUCAAUCCCUAGUAUCUCCG